AGACCCGAAACCCGGUGAUCUAGCCAUGGGCAGGUUGAAGGUUGGGUAACACUAACUGGAGGACCGAACCGACUAAUGUUGAAAAAUUAGCGGAUGACCUGUGGCUGGGGGUGAAAGGCCAAUCAAACCGGGAGAUAGCUGGUUCUCCCCGAAAGCUAUUUAGGUAGCGCCUCGUGAAUUCAUCUCCGGGGGUAGAGCACUGUUUCGGCCAGGGGGCCAUCCCGGCUUACCAAUCCGAUGCAAACUGCGAAUACCGGAGAAUGUUAUCACGGGAGACACACGGCGGGUGCUAACGUCCGUCGUGAAGAGGGAAACAACCCAGACCGCCAGCUAAGGUCCCAAAGUCAUGGUUAAGUGGGAAACGAUGUGGGAAGGCCCAGACAGCCAGGAUGUUGGCUUAGAAGCAGCCAUCAUUUAAAGAAAGCGUAAUAGCUCACUGGUCGAGUCGGCCUGCGCGGAAGAUGUAACGGGGCUAAACCAUGCACCGAAGCUGCGGCAGCGAACGUAUCACCCAAGACAACUUUACACAGUUGACGACUGACGGAGCGAAGCGACGUCAAAGCGUUUUACAACGUCGAGUUGGCUUAGGGAUACGUUCGUUGGGUAGGGGAGCGUUCUGUAAGCCGUUGAAGGUGGCCUGUGAGGGUUGCUGGAGGUAUCAGAAGUGCGAAUGCUGACAUAAGUAACGAUAAAGCGGGUGAAAAGCCCGCUCGCCGGAAGACCAAGGGUUCCUGUCCAACGUUAAUCGGGGCAGGGUGAGUCGACCCCUAAGGCGAGGCCGAAAGGCGUAGUCGAUGGGAAACGGGUUAAUAUUCCCGUACUUGGUGUUACUGCGAAGGGGGGACGGAGAAGGCUAUGUUGGCCGGGCGACGGUUGUCCCGGUUUAAGCGUGUAGGUGUGUGUUCCAGGUAAAUCCGGUUCACUUUAACACUGAGGCGUGAUGACGAGGCACUACGGUGCUGAAGCAACAAAUGCCCUGCUUCCAGGAAAAGCCUCUAAGCCUCAGGUAACAUCAAAUCGUACCCCAAACCGACACAGGUGGUCAGGUAGAGAAUACCAAGGCGCUUGAGAGAACUCGGGUGAAGGAACUAGGCAAAAUGGUGCCGUAACUUCGGGAGAAGGCACGCUGACACGUAGGUGAAGUGGUUUACCCAUGGAGCUGAAGUCAGUCGAAGAUACCAGCUGGCUGCAACUGUUUAUUAAAAACACAGCACUGUGCAAACACGAAAGUGGACGUAUACGGUGUGACGCCUGCCCGGUGCCGGAAGGUUAAUUGAUGGGGUCAGCGCAAGCGAAGCUCCUGAUCGAAGCCCCGGUAAACGGCGGCCGUAACUAUAACGGUCCUAAGGUAGCGAAAUUCCUUGUCGGGUAAGUUCCGACCUGCACGAAUGGCGUAAUGAUGGCCAGGCUGUCUCCACCCGGGACUCAGUGAAAUUGAACUCGCUGUGAAGAUGCAGUGUACCCGCGGCAAGACGGAAAGACCCCGUGAACCUUUACUAUAGCUUGACACUGAACACUGGUCCUUGAUGUGCAGGAUAGGUGGGAGGCUUUGAAGUGUG
rnacentral:rRNA from 1 species